rnacentral:rRNA from 1 species
UACGUAGGGGGCAAGCGUUGUCCGGAUUUACUGGGCGUAAAGAGCGCGCAGGCGGUCGUUCAAGUCGCGUGUGAAAGCCCCCGGCUCAACUGGGGAGGGUCACGCGAUACUGAUCGACUCGAAGGCAGGAGAGGGUAGUGGAAUUCCCGGUGUAGUGGUGAAAUGCGUAGAUAUCGGGAGGAACACCAGUGGCGAAGGCGACUACCUGGCCUGUUCUUGACGCUGAGGCGCGAAGGCUAGGGGAGCAAACGGG